rfam:Glossina palpalis gambiensis isolate 146720 unplaced genomic scaffold Scaffold370, whole genome shotgun sequence.
GUUCGUCUGCGGCGGAAUAUGUAUUAAAACUGGAGCGAUACAGAAAAGAUUCCCAUGAUCUGUGCACAAGGAUGACACGCAAAACUAUAAAGCUUUCUAAACUAAU